AACGAACGCUGGCGGCAUGCCUAACACAUGCAAGUCGAACGAGACCUUCGGGCCUUGUGGCGCACGGCUGCGUACGGCGGGGGAAGCUGCCCUUGGGUACGGUAUACCUCCCCGAAAGGGGUGCUAAUACCGGAUAAUGUAUUCGGACCAAGGAUUUAUCGCCUUUGGGUGGGGCCGCGUUGGAUUAGCUGGUUGGUAGGGUAUAAGCAUACCAAGGCGUCGAUGCAGAGCUGGUCGGAGAGGGGGAUCAACCACACUUGGACUGAGACACGGCCCAGACUCGUACGGAAGGCAGCAGAGGGGAAUAUUGGACGAGGGACGAAAGCCUGAUCCAGCAGUGCCGCGGGAGUGAUGAAGGCCGUAGGGUUGUAAAGCUCUUUGACCCGGGAUGAUAAUGACAGUACCGGGAGAAUAAGCUCCGGCUAACUACGUG
rnacentral:rRNA from 1 species